rnacentral:rRNA from 1 species
ACGAACGCUGGCGGCGUGCCUAAUACAUGCAAGUCGAACGCAUUUUCUUUCACCGUAGCUUGCUACACCGAAAGAAAAUGAGUGGCGAACGGGUGAGUAACACGUGGGUAACCUGCCCAUCAGCGGCGGAUAACACUUGGAAACAGGUGCUAAUACCGCAUAAUUCCAUUUACUGCAUGGUAGAUGGAUGAAAGGCGCUUUUGCGUCACUGAUGGAUGGACCCGCGGUGCAUUAGCUAGUUGGUGGGGUAACGGCCUACCAAGGCUGCGAUGCAUAGCCGACCUGAGAGGGUGAUCGGCCACACUGGGACUGAGACACGGCCCAGACUCCUACGGGAGGCAGCAGUAGGGAAUCUUCGGCAAUGGACGCAAGUCUGACCGAGCAACGCCGCGUGAGUGAAGAAGGUUUUCGGAUCGUAAAACUCUGUUGUUAGAAAAGAACAAGGAUGAGAGUGGAAAGUUCAUCCCUUGACGGUAUCUAACCAGAAAGCCACGGCUAACUACGUG